rnacentral:rRNA from 1 species
CCUACGGGGGGCAGCAGUGGGGAAUAUUGGACAAUGGGGGCAACCCUGAUCCAGCCAUGCCGCGUGUGUGAAGAAGGCCCUCGGGUUGUAAAGCACUUUCAGUGAGGAAGAACGCCUGGUGGUUAAUACCCAUCAGGAAAGACAUCACUCACAGAAGAAGCACCGGCUAACUCAGUGCCAGCAGCCGCGGUAAUACGGAGGGUGCGAGCGUUAAUCGGAAUUACUGGGCGUAAAGCGCGCGUAGGUGGCUUGAUAAGCCGGUUGUGAAAGCCCCGGGCUCAACCUGGGAACGGCAUCCGGAACUGUCAAGCUAGAGUGCAGGAGAGGAAGGUAGAAUUCCCGGUGUAGCGGUGAAAUGCGUAGAGAUCGGGAGGAAUACCAGUGGCGAAGGCGGCCUUCUGGACUGACACUGACACUGAGGUGCGAAAGCGUGGGUAGCAAACAGGAUUAGAUACCCGUGUAGUC